CAAAUGAACGUUGGAAAUACGCGAAUUAAACUCUAUACUGUGUAAGCGUCGAGAGAGUAAAUGCGGUCAUAGUAUAUCUCUGUAGACGUUUGAGAUCGAUUUUCUUUUUUAAAUAUUGUAUCGAUAAUAAUUGAAAAAUAAUACGUAUAUGAUAUUUUAGCAUCCUAUGCUUGUGUAAAAAUGAUUUAAAAAAAAAAAAUUUUCGCUGCGGACAGGAUUCGAACCUGUGCGGGUAAUACACCCAAUGGAUUUCAAGUCCAUCUCCUUAACCGCUCGGACACCGCAGCUCUGUUCAGUAGGUUCUAAUAUACGGUAUAAAAGUUGAAUAGAACGCAAAGUGUUCGUAAAUAUUUUACUACAGAUAAAAGAUAGAUUAACGUAAUAGGUGAUAAUAAAAGAAGAUAUUAGGAACUACGCAUUGCGUUGCGUAACAAACGUAAACCGAUCGUAUUAAAGUAAGAAGUAUUGUAUAAAGCAAAGAGAUAGAAGAGAUCUUGUAACGCUUCAUAAAGUGAACUUACUUCUUUGCUUUCGCCGCCAAUUGAAGGAGGAACCACAAAAUCACACGAUUGCCAACGUGUUAAUUAAGCUUCAAUUAAUAGAGUCCAGUUCCGAGGAAAGCGGCACAUUGCGACCGUAUUAACGAUAAUUGAGUCAUCUCACGGUUGUUUAAUUGCGAUCGUUAACAGAAUGAUAUCGAGCGUCGUGUGUAGCCCUGGUCUUAAAGUGAAAAGGAAAAAGAGAAAUUGUGAUUUUCACGACCGUUAUUCUCGACUCGUGUCGCUCGCAAUUAACCAUUUUCAAGGAUGAUAAGAAAGGACAUGCAGGAACAUCGAUGAACGUUUAAUUUAACCGUUAAUUACCAGAUAUAGCGACGUUACUCUUUUUAACGUGUCGUAUCCCUUGUAACAUCUCAGUAAUGCUUGUAUCUUUAUUUGUUAAUUUAUAAAAUAACAUUGCUUC